rnacentral:rRNA from 1 species
GAGUUUGAUCAUGGCUCAGAUUGAACGCUGGCGGCAUGCCUUACACAUGCAAGUCGAACGGCAGCACGGGAGCUUGCUCCUUGAUUCAGCGGCGGACGGGUGAGUAAUGCCUAGGAAUCUGCCUGGUAGUGGGGGACAACGUUUCGAAAGGAACGCUAAUACCGCAUACGUCCUACGGGAGAAAGCAGGGGACCUUCGGGCCUUGCGCUAUCAGAUGAGCCUAGGUCGGAUUAGCUAGUUGGUGGGGUAAUGGCUCACCAAGGCGACGAUCCGUAACUGGUCUGAGAGGAUGAUCAGUCACACUGGAACUGAGACACGGUCCAGACUCCUACGGGAGGCAGCAGUGGGGAAUAUUGGACAAUGGGCGAAAGCCUGAUCCAGCCAUGCCGCGUGUGUGAAGAAGGUCUUCGGAUUGUAAAGCACUUUAAGUUGGGAGGAAGGGCAGUAAGUUAAUACCUUGCUGUUUUGACGUUACCGACAGAAUAAGCACCGGCUAACUCUGUGCCAGCCG